GGAGAGCUGUCCGAGUGGCCGAAGGAGCUUGAUUCGAAAUCAAGUAAGGGGGUGACCUCUUCUAGGGUUCGAAUCCCUAGCUCUCCG
rnacentral:tRNA from 2 species